UUUUUCGAGGCUCAGUUGGCUAGAGCGCAGGUCUCAUAUUUGGUAUGAUCUUCCCAUGGAAGAGUGAUCCUGAGGUCGCAAGUUCGAGCCUUGCAGAGGGCA